rnacentral:rRNA from 1 species
GUGUCAGCCGCCGCGGUAAUACAGAGGGUGCGAGCGUUAAUCGGAUUUACUGGGCGUAAGGCGUGCGUAGGCGGCUUUUUAAGUCGGAUGUGAAAUCCCUGAGCUUAACUUAGGAAUUGCAUUCGAUACUGGGAAGCUAGAGUAUGGGAGAGGAUGGUAGAAUUCCAGGUGUAGCGGUGAAAUGCGUAGAGAUCUGGAGGAAUACCGAUGGCGAAGGCAGCCAUCUGGCCUAAUACUGACGCUGAGGUACGAAAGCAUGGGGAACAAACAGGAUUAGAUACCCGCGUAGUCC